rnacentral:other from 1 species
CAUCUCCUGCAGCAUACGACGGCGGUCUGGUUAAUUUCUUGAGCCUAACGCCAUAACAGGGGGUAGGAUGUCGGGGCCCGUGUGUCGCCUGCAAAAAUGCAAACGCCUAGUGGUUUCGUGCCAGCUCCCACUUGAACCAAUCGGUUCAAGAACGAAGGCAAGCUACGGUGCAGGUGGGAGGUGU